rnacentral:misc_RNA from 1 species
GUCGAAAAGUAGAGUCCAGCAGACAAAAAAGGUUAAUGAAACAUAAAUGAGGGUGCAGCAGCACUACAGCAACAAAAUUAUUACUCAAAAUUCACUCUACAAGUGCCAAAAACACUAAGAAACAAAACAUUAGAUAUUUAUUAAUUACGUCCAAUUUUAUUCCCAAAAAUGGUGUUUCUACCUCUUUCCGCCUUAUGCUCAUAAAACUACAGUUGUGAGGAGAGCAGAAAACAUACAGCCAAACCAAUGAGUAAAAAUGUGGACAUGGCAGAAACCGUUACAAGAAUGAAAUUAGGCAUAAAGAGAACAAGAAGAAUAGAA